rnacentral:lncRNA from 1 species
CGGCCGUGGAGCGCGGGGAGCGGGGCGCCUGCCCGCCCCUCGGCCCGGCACCCCUCCCGCCCCGGGGCUCCUGCCCCUACCGCUCCCGCCGCCGCCGCCGCCUGGUCUUCCCCGAGGGCUCAGCGUCGGUCUCCGCAGUUUGGCUGGAAACGUGGGAAGGCGGGAGCCCAGGCGGAGAAAGACGCCCCGGGCCCGGACCUGCAGCUGGAGCCGCAGUCCAGCAGCGGGACGCUCGGCUCCGCGGCUUCAGAGUCCCCUUCUGGGUCUACCGGCCGCGGGGACUCUGCGCGCCCGCGCACGGGGAGGAGGUGCGGGCCCUGGCGCUGGAAGAUGGACGCAGCGCCCAGACAGGAAGCUCCUCGCGCUUCCUGGAGAGUUGGCUCCGCGGGGGGGCUGCAUUUUCCUACUCCAAGCUGCGGAGAAGGAUGCGCGACAGAUUAACCCCUCGGUGGCGACUCCUUUGUCUGGCCCGGCCACUGCUGAGACGACAGAGCGGCGCCCUCGGCCUGAGGACUGGGCACCAGUGCCCGAGGAGCGCGCCGGCCGUCCGAAGGCCCCUUCUCCAGCCCAGGCAGGGCCCUGCGCAGGCCGAGCCGCGGGCCUCGGCGGGACACCAGGAAUGGAGCAGGCUCGUCUGCGCUACUCGCUGCAAAAUGACUGCGCUCCCGCAGGGCCUGCUCCGCGCCCGCGCCGACGACGAGGCCUCGCCCAGGGUGCCAGCAAGACCCACCGCGUCCCGGACCCACUGCGUUCUCCACCUGCAGCCCCUCGGGGGCCCAGACGGCGAGUGAGGCCCUGGGGAGUGGGCGUCAGCGCCCAGAACUUUCCAGGCCCAGCCAAACCCCCGCCUCUAAGCGGACCGACCCCAGAGCCCGCCCUCUCCGCCCGGCGGGUUGACGCUCCCUCCCCCAGCGGAGAAAGGCGCAGCCCGCUGGGCAAGUGGAGGACCGAGGUGCACGGCUUUGACACACGGCCUGCGAGGAGGACGGAAUGAACUUUAGUCUCCAGGCCUUCAAGGCGGUAGGGACUAUACUUCAUUAAUGGUUGUUAUGCAAUAAAAACGAUAAAAUGGUCCCUAUUUGCGAUUUAAAAAUGUAAUUUAUUUUAAUUUACAUUUCUAAGUACUUCUGGGGUUUGAUGGGGG